rnacentral:tRNA from 2 species
GUGCUCUUAGUACAAUUCGGUAGAACAUUGGUCUCCAAAACCCAAUGUCGUAGGUUCAAAUCCUACGACACG